rnacentral:ribozyme from 1 species
CAGGUGUCGCGGAACACUGUCGCGGACCACAGCAAUUUCGAUUUCGACCGCUUCGAAGCGAGCUUCAAAUCUCUCGUGGGUGAGAAGGCGUUC